rfam:Gossypium raimondii Chr01_contig_820, whole genome shotgun sequence.
AUCCCAUGAUGAGGACACUUACGAAGUAACUCCUUGAAUCACUCUCAAGCCUCAUAUAAAGACUUGUCAUAUAGUUGCUUGAAAGUUGUGAUCUUGUUCCUCAACUU